UACGUAGGGUGCAAGCAUUAAUCGGAAUUAUUGGGCGUAAAGCGUGCGCAGGCGGCUUCUCAAGUCAGGGGUGAAAGCCCAGAGCUCAACUCUGGAAUUGCCUUUGAGACUGAGUGGCUUGAGUACGAGAGAGGUGAGUGGAAUUCCCAGUGUAGAGGUGAAAUUCGUAGAUAUUGGGAAGAACACCGGUGGCGAAGGCGGCUCACUGGCUCGUAACUGACGCUCAUGCACGACAGCGUGGGGAUCAAACAGG
rnacentral:rRNA from 1 species